GACGAACGCUGGCGGCGUGCUUAACACAUGCAAGUCGAACGGAAAGGCCCUGCUUUUGUGGGGUGCUCGAGUGGCGAACGGGUGAGUAACACGUGAGUAACCUGCCCUUGACUUUGGGAUAACUUCAGGAGACUGGGGCUAAUACCGGAUAGGAGCUCCUGCUGCAUGGUGGGGGUUGGAAAGUUUCGGCGGUUGGGGAUGGACUCGCGGCUUAUCAGCUUGUUGGUGGGGUAGUGGCUUACCAAGCCUUUGACGGGUAGCCGGCCUGAGAGGGUGGCCGGCCACCAUGCGACUGAGAGACGGCGCAGACGCGUACGGGAGGCAGCAGUGGGGAGUAUUGCACAAUGGGCGGGAGCCUGAUGCAGCAACGCCGCGUGCGGAAUGACGGCCUUCGGGUUGUAAACCGCUUUCGCCUGUGACGAAGCGUGAGUGACGGUAAUGGGUAAAGAAGCACCGGCUAACUACGUG
rnacentral:rRNA from 1 species